CACCAAAGAAAAUCCCAGAAAUUUCCCAAUCUUUCUCGCCGGUUAGUCACAAAACUUUCCAGAUUAGGGUUUCUAUCUUUCUCUCUCUCGAAAGUAUAUUUUUCAAGGUGAGAUCUCGAAUCUAUCUUCCCCCCAAAACAUGUUUUCGUUUAAUGCCUGAAAACGCCAAUACGACUCCGCUCCUAUCUCCUGACCACAUCAUCAAACCCUAAAACGCCAACUGCGCUGCGAACAUGGACGAAGGCGAGGGCUGCGAUCAGAUGGAGCAGUUCCACCGGAACGAGGCGAUCUCAGCUGUUGCGGACGAGGGAUUUUUGGGCGAAGAGGACGACGAUUA
rnacentral:misc_RNA from 1 species